GGUUAAGGAGUUGGACUUGAAAUCCAAUGGGCUUUGCCCGCGCAGGUUCGAACCCUGCUCGCUGCG
rnacentral:tRNA from 1 species